ACGAGAACAGCACAGGCUCACCGACACGCAGAAUCAAAAUGGGAUACUUUCGGACGAUGUUCUACCAUGUUUGAAUUGGAGCUUAACAGAGCUUCGUUGUGAUGUCAGUUCCAAAUCUCCAAUGGGCUGGAAGGAACAAAGCUGACCGAAGAAGGAUGUUCGUAAAGUGGAAAGAGUUCAAAAAUGGUUUACAGAGAAGUUUACUGAAAACGGAGGUUUUGAGUUACAAGGAGAGCCUGGGACAUUUUUCCCUCAAACGUCGAAAGCUGAGGGCUGACGUUACAAAAGUUUAUAAAAUCAUGAGGAACACAGGUCCCAUCAUACCCCGUUAUCGUCACGACUGGUCGAUCUACAAAGAAAAUAAUUCAUGGCAUCAGAGCCCUUUUCUCCGCAGGACCCACAGCAAUGAUUGAAGAGGGUGCUGUCACAAUGGAAGAAAGUAGUAGAUUCGUGUCUUCACGAUGAGCGAUAGAGUCCUAGAGCAUGGAAACAGACCUUUUGGCCCAUCUAGUCCAUGCCGACCAUUACCCCAAACUAAGCCAGCUCCUGCCUCCUCCUGGCCCAUAUCCCUUCAAACCGUUCCUAUUUGUGUACUCAUCCAAAUGUCUUUUAAAUAUUGUAACCGUAUCCACCACUUGCUUUGGAAGUUCAUUCCACACACGAACCACCCUCUGUGUAAAAAAAAUUGCCCCCUCCUGUCUUUCUUACAUUUCUCUCUUCUCGCCUUGAAAAUGUAGCCCCCUCCCCCGUCUUGAAAUCCCCAUCUUAGGAAAAAGACAGCCGCCAAUAACCCAAUCUAUACCCGAAAGGAGGCAGCCAGGAUUGGGGCUGAAUGGCCUGCUUCCACGCCCCAAGGAUUCUAUAUAAAAUCAGAAUCAAACUGCCUGAGGCAGCAGAUGUGUUAACAACAGAGGAGUACGGACUUAUAACUAGGACAUUGCUGUACCCUAUCCAAUUUCAUGUCUGCUUCGGAAACCUAGAGAUAAAUGACUCGGAAGCGAGCGUGUGCUAGAAAUUCCAUGCCCUCCACACAUUUCCUCAAGACCAAGGAAAGAACACUUGAAAUUGCAGAAGGUGUAAGGAGAGACAGUCAGGUACGAAAAUAUUGACUUUCUGCUCGCUUGUGCAGAGCUGAAAAGCUGCAGAGACCUGGGCCUUGAGGCUAAAGUGGAGACUGGGCAGGAAGAUGCCCCAUCAUCAUGGAUGCCCCUGUGUGUGGGCACAGGUGGGCUACAAUGGAGGUGUACAGAUAGUGCCAGACUUACUAAUGUGGCAUGGCAUGAGACAGCUCUCCAGGCAGGAGUGACUCUGAUGAGCAUCAGCAAGUGGGAGGGUGUCUCAUGGAACAGGUCAUCCAAUUCUGUGCACUUUCCGCAAGUUGUCAGACGGUUAGCAAGUAUAGAAAAUGUUAUUUUUCAUCUCU